AACACAAGAACAACAGAGACAUGCUAUCUCGCUCAUACAAAACAUGACGCGUAGGCAUCAACCAAUAGCGGACAGACGCGCGCCAUGAUUGGCUGAGAUAUUUUCGCGCCAUUCUAAAAUAAGAUUUCUGCGCAAGUACAUUGGCAUAACUCAUAAAAAUGGCAGUACUGUAUAUUUUUAUU